rnacentral:snRNA from 1 species
AGCUUUUUGCAGAGGCUGUAUUAUAGCCAAUGUGGUUUAUCUGAGGCACAAUUACUGCUAACUGAAAACUCUCCUUUUAGUAACUUUUAAAACAAAAUAAUCCAGCGGUGGUGGCACACC